rnacentral:tRNA from 1 species
UGUAGCUCAUGGUUAAAAGAGUGCUUGUCUAACAUACAUGAGUUCCUGGGUUCAAUUCCCAGUA